GACGAACGCUGGCGGCGUGCUUAACACAUGCAAGUCGAACGGAAAGGCCCUGCUUUUGUGGGGUGCUCGAGUGGCGAACGGGUGAGUAACACGUGAGUAACCUGCCCUUGACUUUGGGAUAACUUCAGGAAACUGGGGCUAAUACCGGAUAGGAGCUCCUGCUGCAUGGUGGGGGUUGGAAAGUUUCGGCGGUUGGGGAUGGACUCGCGGCUUACCAGCUUGUUGGUGGGGUAGUGGCUUACCAAGGCUUUGACGGGUAGCCGGCCUGAGAGGGUGACCGGCCACAUUGGGACUGAGAUACGGCCCAGACUCCUACGGGAGGCAGCAGUGGGGAAUAUUGCACAAUGGGCGGAAGCCUGAUGCAGCAACGCCGCGUGCGGGAUGACGGCCUUCGGGUUGUAAACCGCUUUCGCCUGUGACGAAGCGUGAGUGACGGUAAUGGGGAAAGAAACACCGGCUAACUACGU
rnacentral:rRNA from 1 species